GAGGGUAUAGCUCAGUGGUACAGUGCGUGCCUAGCAUGCACGAGGUCCUGGGUUCAAUUGCCGAGUACUGACA
rnacentral:tRNA from 1 species